rnacentral:lncRNA from 14 species
UCUGUGUGAUUUUUUAAAGAAGCAAGAAGCUAAAUUGGAUUUGGAAGUAAAAACCUUGUUUAGAAAGAUGAUGGAAAACCAGUACUUCUGCUCCUUAGGAAGAGGUACUUUGCCAGGGGGACUGUUAAAGGUUAAAGAAAGGGAAGUAAGGAAAUAUAAAUGACAAGAACUGAACCUAUACUGAAAAUCCAUCUGGAUCCUACUUAACUCGAAGGUGACCAUGACUCUUCCAUAAAAGGUAGGAAAUUGCUUCAGGCUCAUAUUCUGACUUGAACUGGAGGAAUCUCUAAAUGCUUAGAGUUUUCACUUUAGCUGGAUAAACAGACAUUGACAUGCACUGAAAUGUCUUUUGCACCUGCCAAAAUGUGCUAGAAAUCCUGUGACAACAGGUUUUUCUGUAAAAGUCAGUAUUUUCCUUCCAGACAUGACCAGACCAGAACAAAUGCAGAAGUGCAGAGGAAGAAAAAGGGGGUGAGGGGGAAGGAAGGUAAUACAAGUUUUGAAUGAGAUAAAAAAAUGCUGUUGCUUUUCAUGAUUGUUGGGAUUGGUUCAUAUUUUCCCUUGUACCAGUAUGAGUAAUUUUUUAUCAGUAAUAAAUGAUGAC